UCAUGGCUCAGUUGGUUAGAGCGCCGCCCUGUCACGGCGGAGGUCGAGGGUUCAAGUCCCUCUGGG
rnacentral:tRNA from 1 species